AGGCAUAAACCAGCCUAAAUGAUUUUAUGACAUUUUUAGUUUUAGAGGUUCACACAUCAAACAUCAGUCUGUGUAUGAAUAACAUACUUAGGACCUGCAACAUAUCUUAGAGAGAGGAGAUAGCAUUCCUUGACUUCAAUACCUUUGCUUGAUCUGUGCCUGUUGUAAGUGGAUGGAAAGCAUUUAAUUCAUAUUAGAUCCUUGUCGAAUACAAACUAUGAAGAGACAGAUCUACUGUGUUGAUUUAACACCUAUUGCUAUAAAAAUUCAUGAAAAACUGGGGUCAUUUAAAAAAAAAUCCUCCUCCCAGUCCCCCCUGGUAAAGGCUUAGCCCCCUUAACCAUAAAUCUCUAGUGACGCCCCUGGUUGUGGGGCAGUCAAAUCAACACAGUUGUCAGCACCACAGGUGGAAGUUGGGGACAUGCUAUUACAGUUAAGAAGGAGACAAUUAAUGGCCUAUUAUUGGGCAAAUCUAUAAAAUUGAUUUUAUGAAAGAUUUACACCAUACUAAAAAAGUUAUGAAUAGGUUUUGGGAAAUGGGCAAAAUCUAUAAGGAGAGUUUUUGCACAAUCAUAUCAGAUAUAACUAAGGAACUGGAAGUUAAUAAUUGGGCUAUCAGUCAAACUGUUUCAAUGCCAGCUGUUCCACCAUGGCUAUUGCCUCAACCAUCUGUUGAUUUCUCAAUUUUGGAUCACGUUCAUUCAAGUAAAAAGGCAUUACGUGAACACUGUAUUACAUGAGAGAUAUGGGCAAUAUGUACAUAUAUUUACAGAUAGGUCAAAAAAUCCAGAGAAUGGGAAAGCAAGUAGUGCAUUUUAUGUCCCAGAGUUAAAAGUCAAGUUGAACAAGAGAACUACAGAUCAUAUAUCUGUAUAUGCAGUUGAAAUUAUGGCAAUCUUGUUAGCCCUACAAUGGAUCGUGGAAGUCAAACCUUUGCAUAUACUGCUUUACUCAGAUUCAAGUGCAGCCCUGGCUAGUCUCAAGCAUACUUCUUCAAGACGCAGACAGGAUAUCCUUUAAGACAUUAUGUGAUAUAGAAUUAUUAGAUUAGGAAUUGAUGUACAGUUUUUAUGGGUACCAGUGCCUACGGGCAUCCGGGGAAAUGAGGUUAUGGAUCGUUUUGCCAAAAAUGGAUUAGAUAGAAAUCAAGUAGAAGUUUCAAUAGCAAUAAGCAAGAUAGAGGCAAAGGCUUUUAUAUGGAACAGGAUUGAGGCACAGUGGCAAAGGCUGUGGGACAGGGAUACUAAAGGAAGGCAUUUAUAUCAGAUUCAACAAGAGGUUGGACCUCUCCAACCUCUUCCUGCAGGGGAAAAACAAAAGACAUGAGUGCCUGAUCAGCAGAAUAAGACUGGGACACACAAAACUAAGCUCAUCUCUACACCUCAUCGUGAAGCAUCUAACUGGAACUUAUACAGAAUAAUACUGAAAUUGUGGAUCACAUUUUUUUCAUUGUCUCAAAUAUACAAGACAAAGAUAGCUGUUAAAGAAUGAACUGGAACAUAAAGGGAUUGAACGCAUGGACUUGAAAACACUCUUUACAAAUGACUGGACAUUUUAAAACAUGUCUUCAUUUAUCUACAAAGCAUGAGUUUAAUAGGGAUUGAAGAACUAUGUACUGUAAUUCAACAAUUUGUGGCGAUAGUGCUUCAAAUGGUGGCAAUUCACGAUUAAACAGGAAGAAGAAGAAGAAGAACAACAACAACAACAAGAUGGUGACUGCUGUGUGGUUCUUGUUGCUGCUGUUCUUGUCGAAGUGUCCUUGGGCAAGAUACUGAACUCCAAAUUGCUCUUGAUGACUGUGCCAUCAGUGUAUGAAUGUGUGUGAAUGAUUAGCUCCCUCUGAUGAGUAGGUUUGGACCUUGCAUGGUAGCCCCUGUACCCAUUCAGCGUAUGAAUGUGUGUGAAUAGGUGGAUGUGACAUGUCGUGUAAAAGCGCUUUGAGUAGUCAGGAGACUAGAAAGGCGCUAUACAAGUACAGUCUGUUUACCAUUUACAAUCUGAGUCAACUGUCAAUGUGAGCCGCACAUGUGCGAGGCGCUCCGCCAUCUUGGACAGCUAGGCUAUAACGUUUGUAUAUGUGAGAAGACAGAGACGGAUGAGAGUAAAAAAUGUGUGAAUUUCAGUUUUUCCAUCAACUCCGAGCUUACUUUGAAGCUGGAAAGUUUCACCACAGUUGGGGAAAAGCUGACAAGUGGAAGAUUACUCAGUCAGCAAGUAAUUUCAUCUUGAAAGGUGAAGAACCCAGACUACAGUGAUGACACCAACAGUGACAACAGCCAGCUCUUGAGAGGAAUUGAGAAGAAGAUGCAGCAUCCCAACACAAGACACUGAGAGGAAGAUGAUUAGUAUACUGCACUAUUCACAAACAUCCGCCUGCCACCUGAGUCCCGCUGGAGAGAACCAUGUCGCUGCACGAUCUGAGUCAACCGUUGAUGUGAGUCACGCAUGCGUAAGCGGCU